CAAGUCGUGUACACGUAUAUGCCUGGCUCCCUGUAUGCCAUUUGCAAAGCUCACCGUAAUAUAUCGAUGGGCCUUGUUGAAUGGCGUAUGAGGAGCCAAGCAUAUUCCGAUAUCGUGUAUAUGAUGUUG